UCCCCGCGCUUGCCACCGAUAUUUGGCAUUUGUACAACAUGGCAGACAUCGACAAGUAAUUGGUACUUUUGAACCUUGGUGUGAUACUGUAAUAUUGUAGCAAAGAACAGUCUGAACUUGAUCAAGAUUUGGAUGAUGUUAAAGAAGUAGAAGAGGAGGAGACUGGUGAAGAAACAAAACUCAAAGCGUGUCAGCUGACUGUUCAGAUGAUGCAAAAUCCUCAGAUUCUUGCAGCCCUUCAAGAAAGACUUGGUGGUCUGGUAGAAACACCAACAGGAUACAUUGAAAGCUUGCCUAGGGUAGUUAAAAGACGAGUGAAUGCCCUUAAAAACCUUCAAGUUAAAUGUGCGCAGAUAGAAGCCAAAUUCUACGAGGAAGUUCAUGGUCUUGAAAGAAAGUAUGCUGUUCUUUAUCAACCUCUGUUUGAUAAGCGAUUUGAGAUCAUUAAUGCCAUCUAUGAACCUACAGAAGAAGAAUGUGAAUGGAAACCAGAUGAGGAAGAUGAAAUUUCGGAGGAGCUAAAAGAAAAGGCCAAGAUUGAAGAUGAGAAAAGGGAUGAAGAAAAAGAAGAUCCCAAGGGAAUUCCUGAGUUUUGGCUGACCGUUUUUAAGAAUGUUGACUUGCUCAGUGAUACGGUUCAGGAACAUGAUGAACCUAUUCUGAAGCACUUGAAAGAUAUUAAAGUGAAGUUCUCAGAUGCUGGUCAACCUAUGAGUUUUGUCUUAGAAUUUCACUUUGAACCCAAUGAAUAUUUCACAAAUGAAGUGUUGACAAAGACAUAUAGGAUGAGGUCAGAACCAGAUGAUUCUGAUCCCUUUUCUUUUGAUGGACCAGAAAUUAUGGGUUGUACAGGGUGCCAGAUAGAUUGGAAAAAAGGGAAGAAUGUCACUUUGAAAACGAUUAAGAAGAAGCAGAAGCACAAGGGACAUGGGACAAUUCAUACUGUGACCAAGACAGUCUCUAAUGACUCUUUCUUUAAUUUUUUUGCCCCUCCUGAAGUUCCUGAGAGUGGAGAUCUCUAUGAUGAUUCUGAAGCUAUCCUUGCUGCAGACUUUGAAAUUGGUCACUUUUUACGUGAGCGUAUAAUCCCAAGAUCAGUGUUAUACUUCACUGGAGAAGUUAUUGAAGAUGAUGGCGAUGAUUAUGAUGAAGAAGGUGAAGAAGUGGAUGAGGAAGGGGAAGAAGAAGGAGAUAAGAAAAUGAUCCAGACUAUGACCCAAAGAAGGAUCAAAACCCAGCAGAGUGCAAGCAGCAGUGAAGCAGGAUGUAUGUGGCCUUGAGGAUAACCUGCACUGAUCUACCUUCUGCUUUCCUGGAAAGGAUGAAUUUACAUCAUUUGACAAGCCUAUUUCAAGUUUUUUGUUGUUUGUUUGCUCAUUUUUGUUUUUGCAGCCUAAAAUAAAAAUGUCAUAUAAUUUUAGUUCUCAAAAGAUAAUGUCUUAAUUUUAUACUAAUUCAGGUAGAAGCAGAGCCCUAGCUUUAAUUAUGUACCCAGUUUACCAUAUUACUGAAGAAAAGGGUGCCAAAUUUGGAAGAGGUACUACUAUAUCUACUAAUAAGAAAGUAUUUUAAAAAAAGAUAAAUUCUUAAAUGAUUUAAUGGUUCUCAUAGAAGAGUAAAAGGUUAAAAUUUCAUUUCCUUUGGUCAUAACCAGACUGAAGGCCCCGAGCCUUACAGUCAAUUCCAGUUCUUACUGCUUAAAAUGUGUCAUUUAUUUACCCUUGCCUUUUGUUUGACUGUGUAUUAAAAUGGGUAGUACUGUUGACUUAAUUACCUCACAGAUGUGUUAAGGCAUAUUAAGUUAAAAAUUUUAUGAAAUGUUUCUCAGUUGCAUUAAAACCUCAAAACUUUGGACCUGUUGUACCAUAAGUAUGUGAUAUUCAACAUCUUAAUUAUACCAAGGCUUGAUAUGAAUAGUUAAACUGGUAAACCAAGUAUAAGUACCUUUAUUCUGGAUCCAGUCGGGCAACACUUGUAGACCUUUGUGUGGCUCCUGUUUUAACAGAAGUAGGUAAUGAGCAGCUGUUUCAAGGGGUCCUAGGAUUUUUUCCAGCUAUUUUAAUUCUGACUAUAUUGUAGUAAAUACUAUAGAGGUCAUGGAACUAAAGUGAAAAUAAGACCAUUGUUAGAGGCGGGAAAUGCCAUUAAAUUAGGGACUGUAGAGCCACAUUUAAAAUACCUCAGGCUAAAUACUGUUACUUUUGGGGAUGAAUAUUAAAGGUUUGACAGAGUGGACUAAUUGGGUUAUAAUUAUAGGAAAGCCUAGAAUUCCUGGUUUUAAUAAAAUUACAUUGGGCUCAUUUUUAGAGGUGAUAGAGCUUCUGUUUUAAAAAUUUAGUAUUAAGGUCUUAGAAUAUAAACACAUUUUGUUAUUUGUAUAGUACUAUCCAUUCCUCCUGAAAUUUUAAGUACCUACUGGAAAUCCUUAACCAGUUGCAGUAGUUCAUAAAAAAUGCCAUGAAAACACCUUCUGUUUUUCCUCUUCAUUUUCAAAAUGAUUUUGCUUGUUUUAAUUAGACAGUCUGCGGUGAUUUUCUUUUUUUGUACCCAUAGCUCAUUUGAACACAGCUUCUUCUGAACUAAAAAAUUUUAAUCUGAAGAUAGAAUCCCAUUUUUAAUGAACUUAAAAGUAGCAGCAAAACUCUUCCUUUAGGAAAUAGCGGUUGCCAAAGUGAAGAGAUAAAUAACUAUUUCAUGUAAUAUUGGGGGAAUAUGGUCUGCAGAGGAAUUUUUUUUUUAAAUAAAGUUGGAGUUUCAAGGGAUAUCAGUGUUCAUCAAUGCCAUCUCUCCAGUUUCAAGACGGUUCUAUUCCAUUUUAGAAAUUUGACAUAUGUAAUUUGAAAUCCUUAAUAAAAUUUGCAUUUAAUUUAAAAAA